rnacentral:rRNA from 1 species
UACGUAGGGUGCGAGCAUUAAUCGGAUUUACUGGGCGUAAAGCGUGCGCAGGCGGCCCGUUAAGACAGGUGUGAAAUCCCUGGGCUCAACCUAGGAAUUGCGCUUGUGACUGGCGGGCUCGAGUACGGUAGAGGGGGGUGGAAUUCCUGGUGUAGCAGUGAAAUGCGUAGAGAUCAGGAGGAACACCGAUGGCGAAGGCAGCCCCCUGGGCCUGUACUGACGCUCAUGCACGAAAGCGUGGGGAGCAAACAGG